rnacentral:misc_RNA from 1 species
AAGUCGUAACAAGGUUUCCGUAGGUGAACCUGCGGAAGGAUCAUUAACACGUAUCCAACGUUAAACCCCCGUGAACUUUUAUUGCGAACCACGCCUUUGUUAGAAAGUAGCAAUCCCUGGUAAAUCAUCGCCGAACAGUUUUGAUUCAGGGAUCUCUGCGAAGAGAGCGGUUGUAGCGCGAGGUAAGUGGCCUGGCAUUCCUCUGACAGUGUCACUAGACACGGCCGGCGACCGGGUCACCGGGCAUAGACCCCCCUAUCACCUUUGCAUGAAAACGGGCCUGCGCUUAAUUGUGCGGCCACCAAACUCGAACAACUGUUAACAAUGGAUAUCUUGGUUCUC